CCUUUCGCCGGGCUUGAGAGUUAAUGCAGCUUUUAUCCUUCCUUGGAUGUCUGAGAUCUUUAUUCACUCUAUCGAUUAUCUUGUCUGUUUAGGUUAUUCCUUCUAGUAGAU
rnacentral:sRNA from 1 species